rnacentral:rRNA from 1 species
CCUACGGGCGACAGCAGUGGGGAAUAUUGCACAAUGGGCGCAAGCCUGAUGCAGCAACGCCGCGUGAAGGAAGACGGUUUUCGGAUUGUAAACUUCUGUUCUUAGUGAAGAAUCAUGACGGUAACUAAGGAGCAAGCCACGGCUAACUACGUGCCAGCAGCCGCGGUAAUACGUAGGUGGCAAGCGUUGUCCGGAAUUACUGGGUGUAAAGGGAGCGUAGGCGGGAAGCCAAGUCAGCUGUGAAAACUACGGGCUUAACCUGUAGACUGCAGUUGAAACUGGCUUUCUUGAGUGAAGUAGAGGUUGACGGAAUUCCGAGUGUAGCGGUGGAAUGCGUAGAUAUUCGGAGGAACACCGGUGGCGAAGGCGACCAACUGGGCUGUAACUGACGCUGAGGCUCGAAAGUGUGGGGAGCAAACAGGAUUAGAUACCCGAGUAGUC